AGUGAACGCUGGCGGUAGGCCUAACACAUGCAAGUCGAACGGCAGCACAGUAAGAGCUUGCUCUUACGGGUGGCGAGUGGCGGACGGGUGAGGAAUACAUCGGAAUCUACUUUUUCGUGGGGGAUAACGUAGGGAAACUUACGCUAAUACCGCAUACGACCUACGGGUGAAAGCAGGGGAUCUUCGGACCUUGCGCGAUUGAAUGAGCCGAUGUCGGAUUAGCUAGUUGGCGGGGUAAAGGCCCACCAAGGCGACGAUCCGUAACUGGUCUGAGAGGAUGAUCAGCCACACUGGAACUGAGACACGGUCCAGACUCCUACGGGAGGCAGCAGUGGGGAAUAUUGGACAAAGGGCGCAAGCCUGAUCCAGCCAUACCGCGUGGGUGAAGAAGGCCUUCGGGUUGUAAAGCCCUUUUGUUGGGAAAGAAAAGCAGCAGGUUAAUACCCCGCUGUUCUGACGGUACCCAAAGAAUAAGCACCGGCUAACUUCGUG
rnacentral:rRNA from 1 species